rnacentral:sRNA from 1 species
AGUUUGACAGAUCUUCACAAAAUGACACGUCUGUUAAAAUGUCUUUAUGUCAAGAUGGUCAACUCACCAAGAGUUCAUACUACUAUCAAGCUCUGUGAGACUUCAGAAUCAGCCAUGAAGCUUUGUGUCAACUGGAAUUCAAAUCAAAUUUUGCCAAAUCCAGUUUGCUUCCCCUUGGAAUGGCUAGAUGUCGCAGGUCUAUUAUGGACACCAACUGGAAAAAGACUUCUACCUGUAACAUCUCUGUAGAAAUUACACAGUAACUAUCUUCAUCAAGACUUUGAUGGCCACCAUACCAUCACUACUCAUAAAGCUACAUGAGAAUGUUAAACGUAAAGACCAUAUUGAUCAUCAGAAGGAUAAAGUUGCUUUAACUCUGGCUCGUCUAGCCCGCCAUGUUGAAGUGGAGAAACAGCAGAAAGAAGAGAAGAAUAGAGCAUUCAGAGCCUUUGUGAAUUGUUGGUGUCUUCAUUAUUAAAGUAAGUUAUCUUACUUUUGUGCUGGAGAGGUUUC